GAGGGUUCGGCCCUCGGCAGACGGCUCAGUAACACGUGGAUAAUCUACCCUUAGGUGGAGGAUACCCUCGGGAAACUGAGAAUAAUACUCCAUAGAUUUAGAAGGCUGGAAUGCAUCUAAAUUAAAAGCUCCGGCGCCUAAGGAUGAGUCUGCGGACUAUCAGGUUGUAGUCAGGGUAAUGACCUGACUAGCCUACGACGGAUACGGGUUGUGAGAGCAAUAGCCCGGAGACGAUAUCUGAGACACGAUAUCGGGCCCUACGGGGCGCAGCAGGCGCGAAACCUUCACAAUGUGCGAAAGCACGAUGAGGGGAUCCCAAGUGCUGGCUCGUAAGAGUCAGCUGUUUCUCUGUCUAAAAAACAGAGAGAGUAAGAGCUGGGUAAGACGGGUGCCAGCCGCCGCGGUAAUACCUGCAGCUCAAGUGGUGGUCGCUAUUAUUGGGCCUAAAACGUUCGUAGCCGGUUUAGUAAAUGCCUGGGUAAAUUGUAUGGCUUAACCAUACAAAUUCCGGGUAGACUGCUACACUUGGGACCGGGAGAGGCUAGAGGUACUCCUGGGGUAGAGGUGAAAUUCUGUAAUCCUAG
rnacentral:rRNA from 1 species